rnacentral:lncRNA from 1 species
ACCCACCUUGGGUUAAUCAUAUCCCUGAUAACGUCUUGUAGACGUUUCAUUUGACUUUGCAUUACUCACACAUUUUUCCUUAGACUAUGGAUUUUGUCCCUACUCGGUUUUUACCAUAGCCUUAGGAUUUUUGUGAGACUUAGUUCCUUAUACAAGUUCCUACCUUAUUGAGACUAGCGUGUUCCCAUAAUCAGUGACGAUGAGUCGAUUUCCUCAACUCUACAUGAUGCCGAAUCUACUUGAGUACUUAUACACUCAAGGGGUAGUGUUAUAAACUUCUUAUUUAAGUGUGAUUGUAUAAAUCCUAUUUAUAUUUGAUAGUUAUUCUUUUCUAUUAAGGCUUGUAUUCAUUGGAGGAGAAUGAUUUAUUCUUUCUCUUAUUACUAUAAAUAAAGGCACUGCUUAAGGGGAAUAACACAUUCUCUAAACAACCCUACAAACACAUCUCUCUUUAUAUUUUCUCUGUGCCGCCGACCCUUCUUCCUUGUCAGUUAAACAUAGGCCACAAAAAUUUUGAGUUAUAUUGGGCUUUUGAUAUGAUCUUAUGUGCCACUUUCUUUUAUGUCUUUAUUGAUAUUUUUUUUACAAAUAAUAAAAUAAUCUAAUACUAAAUUAAAUAUAUUUAAACUAUGAAAAUGGAAAGGGUGGAGGGAUUUAACUCGGGCCCUGAGACCAGUCUACCACUUCUUGUGCUUAUUGAUUUCCAAAAACUUUAUAUACGAAUCUUAUAGACAACUUUUAGCAUGGAAUGAGGACGGAAGCUUCCAGGAAGAUGUCUGGCUAUAUCCUACUUAACUGAUAACUACAUCUCAAGUACGCUCUUAACGAAAUGGAGUCACACUGACAGCGACAUUUCUUCUUCCGUGCAUCUUCCUGGAUGUUUGAGGUGAGGACCAACCGACCAAGGCAUCGGCUUCUUUGAGUCAAUUCACCUAGGGCUUUAUUACUGUAAAUUUACUUAGUGGUUAUCAAAAUUGUUCUCAAUUUUUUUGUUGUUCUUAUUUGGGCAUUUUGUUUUGGAAAAUUACAGAAAAAUAUAAACCAUUUAAAAAUUAAAUUAAACGUCGAGACCAGGCCAUUCAAAAGAAAGACGAAUCCAUAAGACAUUCGCAAAUUUCAAAAGAUUUAGGGAGAUUUAUUAGGUCCCGAAAUAAAAUCUCAGGAGGGUAUUAUGUUGAUGAACCAACAAGAUUUAGCAAGAUGCGCUAUGUAACUUCGUUUGUGAAAGUUUUAGGAUGGGUAGUUAAUCUAGAGGGGAUGAAUAGGUUAACUUAAAAAUUCAAUUCAAUUUUCAAUUUACUUUCACAUUCACAACA